UGGUCCAAGUCGGACCGAAUCGUCGUCGUAAGCUCCGCCUAUGUGCUGAUUAUUUGCGUAUCUCCGCUUCCUUAAUGUUCACUCCUGCUGACAGACACUUCGCCUCUCACCAUGACUGCGCUCGUGUGAUUAAGUAUUCCUCCAGUGAGUGUGGAACAACAGCAACAGCAGAAAUACCACCAGAAACAGUUUGUGGCGAAGGUGACCUGGUGUCCAGCCAGCAGGCAGACAAGUCAGUAUCAGCAGCCAGUGACCUUACCACACCCAACUGACGCUCAUCUCAAUAAUAACAAUCUCCAUGGGGAAGUGGGAAAGAAUCCCUCCUCCGUAAGCCAUGCAUGUCGUAAGAAGAAACUAAAAUGCCGGGAGCAAGGGGCUAGUAACCCCUUCUCCUGUAUACAUUACUAAAUUUAAGAGAGAGGCUUGUCCUGUCUACUACAAGCCUCAAUCCUCUGCAGGGGUAUACAUAAUCCCUUGUAAUGACUGCAACAAAUUAUAUGUGUGCGAAACAUCAAGAGACCUCCUAACACGUAUUUCAGAACACCAGUACGCAAGCAGGACUGACGAUACAAGGAAUGCCUGUGUACAACAUCGCAAUUCACACAACCAUUUAAUUAACUACAGAAACUCAAGACUUAUCGCCACAGAAGACAACACUCAAUACCGAAGAAUCCUGGAAUCAUCGCUUAUCUCUAUAACCAACAAUUUCAACCAGAACAAUGGCUUCUAUAACAUAGCUGAGCCACUCGCCAAGAAACUUCUUCAUCGCUAUCCCACUUAAGAACAUAGAACACUGCAGAAGGUCUACUCACAACUUGUCCAAUACCCCUGCCAAGCUACCCAAGACUCUAUAACCCCACCCGGUAGAUCAUCAGAUGCAGCAUUCUCCACCUGACCUCAACAUUCUGAACAUGACUAUAAAUACUCCCGUACCUUCCACCCCAGGUAGAUCUGUGUGUGACUUGAAAAAGCCCACUGUGUGGGU